UAGCUUUCAUUUUCUUGUUAAAACUACAAGAAAAUUUUAUUAUGAGUUAAAUUGCAGGGACAAAAUACUGAUGGAAGAGGAUGUGACACUGUCCAGCAAAAGCAAGGAGAUGAUCUAAAAGAUGGCCUGGAAAACUCAUAUGCGGGGACGAUGCCUCAAUGAUGCUGAUAUUCUGGACUCCCACACUUUUUGGUGUUGCUCCUGGUAUACUAACUUGAAGAAUUGCUCCUGCUUUCAUGCUAUCAAAGUCCCUACGCUGCUGGAUUCGGAGAUCUAAACGAAGUUGCUUGGAUGUUUUUGCUUUGAUUGUUGAUGCUGCUCGAAGUGAUAUUGGCUCAAACUGCUAUGGUCCUUAAUUUUCUGUUGUAUUCCCAAUAGGUGGAGCUGCUUGGAGUUUCUUGGUGUUUAUUUUUUCGUUCUGCUUUGGUGAAAAUUUUCAGAUUGUAAUACUGGAAUUGGAGGGUCUUUUCCUUGUGUUGUAUUGGGCUGGAGGUUGGCUCCUUGCUAUCCUCUCCUGCUUUCUUUUGGGGUUUUGAGCGGCAUAUGAUUGCCAUUUCCAUAGGUAUGGUUUGUGAUGCCUAGCUAGUCUUAGUUUGUGAUGCCUAGCUAGUCUCUUUCCCUUUUUAAUCUUUGUAUAUGUAUCUCAUCUACAUUGAUUAAUUAAAUUUGCUUUUGCCUAUCAAAAAAAA